GACGAACGCUGGCGGCGUGCCUAAUACAUGCAAGUCGAACGCUUCUUUCCUCCCGAGUGCUUGCACUCAAUUGGAAAGAGGCGUGGCGGACGGGUGAGUAACACGUGGGUAACCUACCCAUCAGAGGGGGAUAACACUUGGAAACAGGUGCUAAUACCGCAUAACAGUUUAUGCCGCAUGGCAUAAGAGUGAAGGGCGCUUUCGGGUGUCGCUGAUGGAUGGACCCGCGGUGCAUUAGCUAGUUGGUGAGGUAACGGCUCACCAAGGCCACGAUGCAUAGCCGACCUGAGAGGGUGAUCGGCCACACUGGGACUGAGACACGGCCCAGACUCCUACGGGAGGCAGCAGUAGGGAAUCUUCGGCAAUGGACGAAAGUCUGACCGAGCAACGCCGCGUGAGUGAAGAAGGUUUUCGGAUCGUAAAACUCUGUUGUUAGAGAAGAACAAGGACGUUAGUAACUGAACGUCCCCUGACGGUAUCUAACCAGAAAGCCACGGCUAACUACGUG
rnacentral:rRNA from 1 species